GGCCAUAUCACCCUGAACACACUAGAUCUUAUCUGGUCUUGAAAGCUAAGCAGGAUCAGUCCUGGUUAGUAUAACUAAGAUAGGACACC
rnacentral:rRNA from 1 species